GGGUCAGUAGGUUGGUCGUGCCACCGGUACGUACUGGUCUCACCGAUUCCUCCUCCCUGAAGAACCGUAAUGCCAUUAAUUUGGUGUUGCGGGGAAACAGGACUGUUACUUUGAAAAAAUUAGAGUGUUUAAAGCAAGCUAACGCUUGAAUACAUUAGCAUGGAAUAAUGAAAUAGGACGAUCGAUCCUAUUUUGUUGGUUUCUAGGAUUGACGUA
rnacentral:rRNA from 1 species